GACGAACGCUGGCGGCGUGCUUAACACAUGCAAGUCGAACGGAAAGGCCCUGCUUUUGUGGGGUGCUCGAGUGGCGAACGGGUGAGUAACACGUGAGUAACCUGCCCUUGACUUUGGGAUAACUUCAGGAAACUGGGGCUCAUACCGGAUAGGAGCUCCUGCUGCAUGGUGGGGGUUGGAAAGUUUCGGCGGUUGGGGAUGGACUCGAGGCUUAUCAGCUUGUUGGUGGGGUAGUGGCUUACCAAGGCUUUGACGGGUAGCCGGCCUGAGAGGGUGACCGGCCACAUUGGGACUGAGAUACGGCCCAGUCGCCUACGGGAGGCAGCAGUGGGGAAUAUUGCACAAUGGGCGGAAGCCUGAUGCAGCAACGCCGCGUGCGGGAUGACGGCCUUCGGGUUGUAAACCGCUUUCGCCUGUGACGAAGCGUGAGUGACGGUAAUGGGUAAAGAAGCACCGGCUAACUACGUG
rnacentral:rRNA from 1 species